GACGAACGCUGGCGGCGUGCUUAACACAUGCAAGUCGAACGGAAAGGCCCUGCUUUUGUGGGGUGCUCGAGUGGCGAACGGGUGAGUAACACGUGAGUAACCUGCCCUUGACUUUGGGAUAACUUCAGGAAACUGGGGCUAAUACCGGAUAGGAGCUCCUGCUGCAUGGUGGGGGGUGGAAAGUUUCGGCGGUGGGGGAUGGACUCGCGGCUUAUCAGCUUGUUGGUGGGGUAGUGGCUUACCAAGGCUUUGACGGGUAGCCGGCCUGAGAGGGUGACCGGCCACAUUGGGACUGAGAUACGGCCCAGACUCCUACGGGAGGCAGCAGUGGGGAAUAUUGCACAAUGGGCGGAAGCCUGAUGCAGCAACGCCGCGUGCGGGAUGACGGCCUUCGGGUUGUAAACCGCUUUCGCCUGGGACGAAGCGUGAGUGACGGUAAUGGGUAAAGAAGCACCGGCUAACUACGUG
rnacentral:rRNA from 1 species